AUUCCAUUUACUUCGCAGUUUCACAUUUAUCACAUCAGAGAAAAUAGAAGAGAGAGAGAGAGAGGGAGAAAGAACGCAGCGCAGAGAGAGAGGGAGAAGGCCGGUGGAGAUCAAGUGUCGCCGGAAGGAAAAAGCCGCGCCACAUGGGUACCUAGUUUUUUUUUUUCCAAAUUGUUCAAUCAAAAUGCAGAAUUUCAGUUUCAAGGUCAUCAAAGCUGUUGGCCAAUAUUCUGUACUCAUGGGUCUAUCUGUUGGGAACUUAAUUGCUAGAUGGGAUGAAAUGGGACUUCCACUCCAUCCAAUUUUGGGGAUGUCUGGAGCAGACAGAUUUGAUGCUAUUCUUCUUCCAGGCUAGAUGAGUGAUCAAUAAUAAUAGGUUUGACUUGCCUGCAUAGACCAUCACCCCAAAGAUUGAGAAAGAUCUGCAUUUACUGAAGUUGAGAACUGCCAUUGAUCUGUAAAGGCACUACAAGAAGGGGGAUUCAAAAUCCAAAACUUUGCCUGCCCAUGUAUUUCCAGAUCGGGAUGGUGAUAGAGUCAGCAUCAGACUUCGUCACAGGUAGACUGACAAAGAAGAAGAGAAAGGGAACAAUUGGAUCUGGGGUGUUAUCUGAUCUCUCCCUCGCUGACUACAGAAGAAGAAAAAAGUUCUAUCCCAAUGUGUCCCAUAUGGAUUCAUUCAUCUACAUAUAGGGAUUGCAGUUGCAAAGGAAUGUUUCUUAGAGUACUGAAACAGCUGCAGUUGGGUUUUAGCUGAUUCUUCUUGCAUCUUCUGCUUAUAUUUCUUCAACUUAUUCUUCUUCAUCUGUGAACUUGCCAUUAAUUCUAUCGGUUUUGU